UUUUUCUCUUUAGCAAAACCGAAAAAAGAGACUCCGUCGAUCUCCAGUGUUCCUCAAUCCACAACCGCCGCCGCCGGCGCCGCCAUUUCCAAUGGCGUCGCCUCGCCACCGCUCCUUCCCGCUCCGCCUCCUCAUCCUCUUCCCCGUCUCACUAUGUAUCCUCCUCCUCCUCCGCCGCUCCUCCUACUCCGCACCUCCGCUCAUAGCCGCGGGUCCCGCUCCGGAUCCCCACCGGUUCUCCCUCCUGAUCAAACUCCUGGCCUACGAUCGCCCUGCCCCUCUCCUCCGCUGCCUCCGUUCCCUCGCGGCUGCCGAUUACGAUGGCGACCGCGUCGCGCUGCACGUCCUCCUCGACCACCGCCCGCCCAACUCAUCCGCCCCACUCCUCGCAGCGUCCCACGAGAUCCUCACCGCCGUCGACGCCUUCCCCUGGCCGCACGGGGAGAAGCGCGUCCACUACCGGGCGGCUAAUGUGGGGCUCCAGGCGCAGUGGAUCGAGGCGUGGUGGCCUGGCUCGGACGACGAGUUCGCCUUCGUCGUUGAGGACGACCUCGAGGUCUCACCGCUGUACUACAGGUUCCUGAAGCGGGUGGUCAUGAGAUACUACUACGACAGGGAGAACUACAGUCCCCACGUCUUCGGCGCGUCACUGCAGCGCCCCCGGUUCGUCGCAGGUAAACAUGGAAACAAGAUACAGCUGGACAGUGAAACUAGACUAUUCUUGUACCAGAUGGUUGGUACCUGGGGCCAACUUCUCUUUCCCAAACCAUGGAAAGAAUUUCGAUUAUGGUAUGAUGAACAGAAAGCCCAAGGAAUCAGACCUAUUCUUCAAGGCAUGAAAACUACAGGAUGGUACAGAAAGAUGGGUGAGAGAAUAUGGACUCCUUGGUUCAUUAAAUUUGUCCACUCACGUGGAUACUUCAACAUCUACACAAACUUCUUGAAGGAAAGGGCCCUCAGCAUAUCUCAUAGGGAUGCAGGUGUGAACUAUGGAAGAAGUGUCGGACCAGAUUCUACAUUGUUAGAUGGGAACAAUCUUGAUUUUAACGUAUGGCAAUUACAGCCUCUAAAGAAGCUAAACUGGUAUGAUUUCUGCUUUGCUGAAAUUCUUCCAGGAAGGUUUGUUAGGAAAUUUAGUGAACUUGGUUCUGUGCUCAAAUCUGUGCAAUUAGGAAACAAUGUUGUACUCAUAAGUUUGUAUUCAGUGGAACAGAGGAUUGUGAGAAACCUUAUUUGCCAUCUUGAGAAGACAGGCAUGCGAAAUUACAUCUUUGUUGGUGACAAUUCAGAGUUUCUGGAUGACCUUGCUCAUAGAGGACAUGCUGUCAUUGAUGCUAUUGAGUUGCUGAAGGGGAUCAAAAUGAGUAGUUAUAUGAAUUCUGAUGGUUUUGGUAAGGAAGUACUGGCUAAAGCUUACGUGAUACAACAUUGCUUGAACCUGGGUUACAAUACAUGGGUACUAGAUGGUAAUAUGAUUUCACUUGGCAGUAAGUUGGUUGAGCCAUCAAAUCAAUCAGUUGACAUUUUUACUGCAGACCCUGUUGAUUUGAUAUUUAUAAGAAACUCACAAGGCUCUAAAAAAACAUGGAAUGAGCAUAUUAUAUCGAAAGUAGCAGAUGGUCUGCUGUCUCCAAAAGGUGAUCUUAUUGCUUCCCUGAAACAUGUGAGUUUUGUUCAUAUACUCACCAGAGUGUUGGAAAACAAUGGUGGUGGUGUGAGGCUGGGGAAACUGAAUGAGGGGAUAAUGACUAUGGAAUUAGGGCCUAACAUGUCUAAUAGAUCACUGUCAGAGGGUCAAAGUAAAUUGCUUUUCUGGUCUCAUAAUGUGGCUUCAGAUUCGGUACAAAGGCAACUCGGAAAUGUGAAUUUGUGGUUAAUUGACUCAGAUUCAUCUUGUAGUGGCGUUGUUUGUAGCCAAAAGCAGAAGUAGCCUCUGUUAUCUUACGCAUGUUUCUUUUAACAUUGACCUCCAUUAACGGAUCCUGAGGUAAUAUCAAGUAUUUGAGGCUUGGACCUGCUCCAGCACUUACCCAAGAAAUAUUGAUAGCCUUUAUCGAUGGAUGCAUCUGCCAUUUCUUUAUUAUCUUUGUGGCCUUCAAUCCUCCAGAACCCUGCAAUUACUUUAGAUGUUGAUAACUGCUGGUCUUUGGAGCCAAUAUUCUGUACUUAAGGGGUCUUAAAGUGUGGAUCGUUCUGAAUGCUUGGUAAGGUUGAAGUUAGCUAUGCUAGUCCUGAUUGCUAGUCCCUAUUCACUGGUACAAUUUUUGAGAAUCCUCCAGAACUCUGCAAUUACAUUUGAUGGUGAUAAUUGCUGGUCUUUGGAGCCAAUAUUCUGUAUUUGGGUCCUUAAGGUGUUGAUAGUUCUGAUUGCCUGGUGAGGUUGAAGUAUUCAGUUUGCUAUGUCAGUCCCCAUUCACUGGUACAGUUUUUGAGAUGAACCUUUCCUGGUGUGCUCGGUGUGAAUAUCAGUGCCCCCUAAGACUGAAGACAUUGGAGACUGAACUUGAGAUGUUCGGUGUUUCUGACCACUUGCAACUGAGGCUAGAGGCGACGGCAAACUUGGAGGCAGCGAAACUUGCGCUCGCAGUGUGUAUGGAGAAAGUCUCUUAAGAUGUUAGAGGCGGUCUUACAAGCCGAAAAUCACAACACGGGGGAUGCUCUUAAUAGAUGAAGAAAGUGUGUGAUUGGCGACAAUGCAAUAUCAACAUAGUACAUGUUUUACUGUGAAAUAUGAUGAGCAUGCAUUGUCGAUCUGAAGAGAUUUCCCAACCACAGUUGACGAUUCCUAGUAGCUCAAUGUUCUUCCACAUUGAUGGCACAUGGUUGCCGAGGCGUCUCGUCUCUACAACCACCACCUCCUCCAGGAGCACGUGCAGGCGGAGGAGUAGCUCGUUGUCGGCAGGGUGGAGCAAGUGGCACUCCUGGAGUCCUACCGGUAACGGGCGACGGAGGAGGAGGGCGUGUCCUCGUUUGGCGAGGGCGACGGAGGAGGAGGGUGUGUCCUCGUUUGGCGAGACCGAUAACGAGGAGAACGACAACACCAAAGUCGUGCCCAACGAAGCUGACACGUUCGCGGUGCCGCCGACAGUGACAAAGAGUAGUGCACGGGAGGUUGUCAACACUCUCACCCAGGAAGGCCACCGCUCCUCCCCUCCCGUCGAUGCCAAGUUUGGUGGGCUGAACAAAGUCGGUUGAUUAAUCGCUUGGCGGCAAUGUGAGGGUGGACACCUGUGGUUGCCAGGUCUCCGGAGGGGGAGGUUACGGUGGUCGAGCUGGAGAGUGUCAAGGCGAAGCUUCAUCUUUCGGAGUUCAUGGCCGGACACGGUGAACGGGUGCCAGUGACAAUUUAGAUUAGGUAUUAGUUAUACCUCUAGAGCCGGACUAGAAUGUAAAUGUAACAAAAUUUGUUGUGUUUAUAUGAAAUCCGUCGUGUUUGCAUAAAA